rnacentral:tRNA from 3 species
CGGCCUAGUGGCUCAGUUGGUUAGAGCGCCGCCCUGUCACGGCGGAGGUCGUCGGUUCGAGUCCGAUCUGGGUCGU